rnacentral:ncRNA from 1 species
UAGCACCGGCGACGGAUCAUUCAAGUGUCUGCCCUAUCAACUUUCGUCGGUACGGUAUUUGCCUACCGAGGUUCUUACGGGUGACGGGGAAUCAGGGUUCGAUUCCGGAGAGGGAGCCUGAGAAACGGCUACCACAUCCAAGGAAGGCAGCAGGCGCGCAAAUUACCCAUUCCCGACGCGGGGAGGUAGUGACGAAAAAUAACAAUGCAGGACUCGUUCGAGGCCCUGUAAUUGGAAUGAGUACACUUUAAAAGCUUUAACGAGUAUCCAUUGAAGGGCAAGUCUGGUGCCAGCAGCCGCGGUAAUUCCAGCUCCAAAAGUAUAUAUUUAAGUUGUUGCGGUUAAAAAGCUCGUAGUUGGAUUUUGGGCGCAGGCGGCCGGUCCGUCGCAAGGCGUGUACUGGACGUCCUGGCCUUCCCUCCGGUUCUCCGCCGGUGCUCUUGACUGAGUGUCGGCGGCGGCCGGAACGUUUACUUUGAAAAAAUUAGAGUGUUCAAAGCAGGCUCUCGAGCCUGGAUAAUGGUGCAUGGAAUAAUGGAAUAGGACCUCGGUUCUAUUUUGUUGGUUUUCGGAGCGCGAGGUAAUGAUUAAGAGGGACAGACGGGGGCAUUCGUACUGUGCCGUUAGAGGUGAAAUUCUUGGAUCGGCGCAAGACGAACGACUGCGAAAGCAUUUGCCAAGAAUGUUUUCUUUAAUCAAGAGCGAAAGUCAGAGGUUCGAAGACGAUCAGAUACCGUCCUAGUUCUGACUAUAAACGAUGCCAACUAGCGAUGAAU